UACGUAGGGUCCGAGCGUUAAUCGGAAUUACUGGGCGUAAAGCGUGCGCAGGCGGUUUUGUAAGCCAGAUGUGAAAGCCCCCGGGCUUAACCUGGGAAUGGCAUUUGGGACUGCAAGGCUGGAGUACGGCAGAGGGAGGUGGAAUCCAGGUGUAGCAGUGAAAUGCGUAGAUAUCUGGAGGAACACCGAUGGCGAAGGCAGCCUCCUGGCUAGUACGUGACGCUCAUGCACG
rnacentral:rRNA from 1 species